rnacentral:rRNA from 1 species
UACGGAGGGUGCAAGCGUUAUCCGGAAUCACUGGGUUUAAAGGGUGCGUAGGCGGCUUAAUAAGUCAGAGGUGAAAGACUACAGCUUAACUGUGGGCCUGCCUUUGAUACUGUUAAGCUGGAAUCAGGUUGAAGUUAGUGGAAUGCGGCAUGUAGCGGUGAAAUGCAUAGAUAUGUCGUAGAACACCGAUUGCGAAGGCAGCUAACUGGGCUUGAAUUGACGCUGAGGCACGAAAGCGUGGGGAUCGAACAGG